GUGACUCCACUCGGCGCCCAGCCAGACUAAGCACAGCCCAGUGACCCUGUUUCCAGCUGAGAUGAGAUUCUCAGUUCCCACAGUGAACGCUGUGACAGCUCUUCUCUGAGGACACAAUUUGAUCUGGAAUAUACUUCUAAUAGUUCUUCCUUUAUAAUUUGUGGAGGGGCAGGGCUGAGGAUCGAACCCAGGGCCUUACACUUGCUAGGCAAACGCUCUACCGUUGAGCUAAAUCCUCAACACUGCUGUCUCUUCUGAUGGACACUUUGGCCCACAGAAUGCUGGAGAGAACUCGUAGUUGGAACUACCUCCUGUUUUUUCCAAAGCUGGGAUUUAGAUAGAAGUCUCUGAUUGUAUUAGCCCUGCCCCUUUAGAUGGAAGUCUCUAUCAUUCACAGUCACUCCAAGGCCAGAGGAUGUCUGCAGCAUGGGAUGAAAGUCACACAUAUGAAGAACUAAAGUCAAAAGAUGGUCCUCUCCGUAUCAGGACUUGCCUAUAAUGAGCAAUAGCUCAGCCCGUGUCUGUCUUCACUAUCUCCCCUUCACCCCCACCCCCAACCAGCGUUUAUGAAAGUAGCAAUUGCUUCUGAGAAAAAGAAAACCGCUGGAGCUUGAAGCUCCUGCUGGAAGCCACUGCUUGCCUCAGUCUGUGGAAACCCAGACGCUAGAAAUCGGAGUUUUGCCGCGCUUCACCUUGCCAACGUGUGCUCGGGAGUUUUAUUUUUAUAAGGUCAGAGAGUUCUCUGCAAGACUCAGCACACUGGCUGGAGAGGGAUGGCUGCAUGCCCCCCCCCUCUCUUUCUGUGUGUGUAUGUGAGCUGUGUGGGCAGGUGUGAGUUGUGUAGCUGUUUACACAGGCUACACACACCUGAAUCUCC
rnacentral:lncRNA from 1 species